rnacentral:ribozyme from 17 species
GAAGGGGGAAAAAAAAAAAAAAAAAAAAAAACACAUUAUUGCACUAAGCGUUACUCUUACUAGCACUUGUUCCCAAAA